rnacentral:rRNA from 1 species
GACGAACGCUGGCGGCGUGCUUAAUACAUGCAAGUCGAACGGAAAGGCCCUGCUUUUGUGGGGUGCUCGAGUGGCGAACGGGUGAGUAACACGUGAGUAACCUGCCCUUGACUUUGGGAUAACUUCAGGAAACUGGGGCUAAUACCGGAUAGGAGCUCCUGCUGCAUGGUGGGGGUUGGAAAGUUUCGGCGGUUGGGGAUGGACUCGCGGCUUACCAGCUUGUUGGUGGGGUAGUGGCUUACCAAGGCUUUGACGGGUAGCCGGCCUGAGAGGGUGACCGGCCACAUUGGGACUGAGAUACGGCCCAGACGCCUACGGGAGGCAGCAGUGGGGAAUAUUGCACAAUGGGCGGAAGACUGAUGCAGCAGCGCCGCGUGCGGGAUGACGGCCUUCGGGUUGUAAACCGCUUUCGCCUGUGACGAAGCGUGAGUGACGGUAAUGGGUAAAGAAGCACCGGCUAACUACGUG